rnacentral:lncRNA from 1 species
GCUCACCACCUAUACCUAGUACACAAUAAGUAAUUUAACACAUUUGUGCCAAACUGUUAUAAAACUAUUUCAGGCUCUACAUGAAUGCAUGAAAUGGAAUGAGAAGUGUCUAAAUAAUCACUUAAAGACGGUGUUCUACGUAGGUUCAAUUGUGAUCGGAAUGAAUUUGUAUUCGACCUAAUUCAAACUAUACACCAUUGAUUUAACCAAAACAUCCGAUUCAACUCCAAAUAUAUUCAUUACACUUCCAAUAUUCCAAUUACACCCAAAGUACCUCAAUGAACUCGAUUUUCUCAUUGUUGUUCAAAUCGUUUACUAAAGGAACAAUACGUUUUCAUAACCGUUUUCAAUAUCCGGCACCACAAUUCAUCAAAUACGAGUUAAAUAACAUGAGAUAUAACAAGAUUCAUCAUCAAUAUGUCCUUUAGUAAAUUCGUCCAAGGAGGGUUUGAUGAAGAAUGUGUGGUUUUCAUGCUUGUUUCUCACACCAAAUAUCACAAAACAACUAAAAACGCGUAUAUAGCAUGAAAUCUAACAAAACCCGUGAUCAAAACCUCUCCCCCUAGGUUUGGCCAGCAAACUUUCCUUCAUGAAAUCUUGAGUUUCAACCAUAGAAAAUGAAAAAGAAAUCAUAGGAAAGGUAGAUCUUAAGCUAAAAUUAGAAAAUCUUACCUUUACUUGCUUGAUUCCUUGAAAUCCAACAAUUUCUCUUGAAUUUUUCCUUUCUAGGGUUUGUUCUUCUCUUUUUCUCUUUGUUCCCUUGCUUGGCC